rnacentral:rRNA from 1 species
UUAAAGUAGAAAGAGCGUAGGGUGGAUGCCUUGGCACUAAGAGCCGAUGAAAGACGUGAUAAGCUGCGAUAAGCUGCGGGGAGGAGCAAAUAUCCUUUGAUCCGCAGAUCUCUGAAUGGGGAAACCCGGCGGAGUAUCCCUCCGUCAGCGUAUGGUGAAUCCAUAGCCAUACGUGGGGAACCCGGGGAACUGAAACAUCUAAGUACCCGGAGGAAGAGAAAGAAACCUCGAUUUCCAAAGUAGCGGCGAGCGAAAUGGAAAGAGCCCAAACCAGAAUGCGUGCAUUCUGGGGUUCGGACUGCGACAUGGGAUUAUGUAUGACAGGAGAACGGCCUGGGAAGGCCGGCCAGAGAGGGUGAAAGCCCCGUAUCCGAAGUCAGAAGUACCCUGGCAGGAUCCAGAGUACCACGAGACACGAGAAACCUUGUGGGAAUGAGCGGGGACCACCCCGUAAGGCUAAAUACUCCUUAGUGACCGAUAGCGCAUAGUACUGUGAAGGAAAGGUGAAAAGGACCCCGGGAGGGGAGUGAAAGAGAACCUGAAACCCUAUGUUUACAAGCUGUGGAACCCCUUUAGAUGGGGAACUGCGUACUUUUUGUAGAACGGUCCGGCGAGUUGCCCGUACUGGCAAGGUUAAGGACUUAAGGUCUGGAGCCGAAGUGAAAGCAAGCGUUAAGAGCGCGGUAGAUGAUCACACUUUGUGUGGUCAUAACAGUCAGUGAGGGCAGACCCGAAACCGGGUGACCUAUCCAUGUCCAGGUUGAAGCUUCCGUAAGAGGAAGUGGAGGACCGAACCCACAUCCGUUGAAAAGGGUGGGGAUGAGGUGUGGAUAGCGGAGAAAUUCCAAUCGAACCCGGAGAUAGCUGGUUCUCCUCGAAAUAGCUUUAGGGCUAGCCUCAUCAAAGUCUGCUGGAGGUAGAGCACUGAAUUGUCUAGGGGGCGUCAAAGCUUACCAAAACAUAUCAAACUCCGAAUGCCAGUCAGAUGAUUGAUGGGAGUCAGACUGUACGAGAUAAGUUGGACAGUCGAAAGGGAAAGAGCCCAGACCACCAGCUAAGGUCCCAAAGUACGUGUUAAGUGGAAAAGGAUGUGGGAUUUCAAAGACAACUAGGACGUUGGCUUAGAAGCAGCCAUACAUUGAAAGAGUGCGUAAUAGCUCACUAGUCGAGAGAUCCUGCGCCGAAAAUGUCCGGGGCUAAAACACGACACCGAAGCUGUGGAAUGUAGAAAUACAUUGGUAGAGGAGCAUUGUAAGCGGGAUGAAGCCAUACCGAAAGGAGUGGUGGACUGCUUAGAAGAGAGAAUGCCGGAAUGAGUAGCGAGAGGAAGGUGAGAAUCCUUCCGGCCGAAUAUCUAAGGUUUCCAGAGUAAAGCUGAUCUGCUCUGGGUAAGUCGGGACCUAAGGCGAGGGCGAGAGCCGUAGUCGAUGGAUAACUGGUUGAGAUUCCAGUACCACAUAAAAACAGAACUGUGGGGACACAGAAGGGAAAUGGGAGCCAGGAAUGGAAAGACUGGUGCAAGCGAAGUAGCCGUAUGGGAGGCAAAUCCCCCAUGCAAGGCAAAGGCGUUACGCGGACCGAACAAAAGUAGGGAAGCCCAGGCCCCCAGCUGUCAAGAAAAGCCGCUAUUGUUUUUUAUGUGCCCGUACCGUAAACCGACACAGGUGGAUGAGGAGAGAAUCCUAAGGCCGACGGGAGAAGUGUUGUUAAGGAACUCGGCAAAAUGACUCCGUAACUUCGGGAGAAGGAGUGCCAGGUAAGACUGGCCGCAGAGAAUUGGCCCAAGCAACUGUUUAGCAAAAACACAGGUCUAUGCAAAACCGCAAGGUGAAGUAUAUGGGCUGACGCCUGCCCGGUGCUGGAAGGUUAAGGGGAGGGCUUAGCGAGUGAUCGCGAAGGUCUGAACUUAAGCCCCAGUAAACGGCGGCCGUAACUAUAACGGUCCUAAGGUAGCGAAAUUCCUUGUCGGGUAAGUUCCGACCCGCACGAAAGGCGUAAUGAUUUGGGCACUGUCUCAACAACACACCCG